UUAAUUGAAGAGUUUGAUCAUGGCUCAGAUUGAACGCUGGCGGCAGGCCUAACACAUGCAAGUCGAGCGGUAACAGAAAGUAGCUUGCUACUUUGCUGACGAGCGGCGGACGGGUGAG
rnacentral:rRNA from 1 species